AUGAACGCUGGCGGCGUGCCUAACACAUGCAAGUCGAGCGGCAGCGAGGGGUGCUUGCACCCUGCCGGCGAGCGGCGGACGGCUGAGUAACGCGUGGGAACGUGCCCCAAAGUGAGGAAUAACUGCCCGAAAGGGUAGCUAAUACCGCAUAUUAUCUUCGGAUCAAAGGAUUUAUCCGCUUUGGGAGCGGCUCGCGUCGGAUUAGGUAGUUGGUGAGGUAAUGGCUCACCAAGCCGACGAUCCGUAGCUGGUCUGAGAGGAUGACCAGCCAGACUGGAACUGAGACACGGUCCAGACUCCUACGGGAGGCAGCAGUGAGGAAUCUUCCACAAUGGGCGAAAGCCUGAUGGAGCAACGCCGCGUGCAGGACGAAGGCCUUCGGGUUGUAAACUGCUUUUAUAAGUGAGGAAUAUGACGGUAACUUAUGAAUAAGGAUCGGCUAACUACGUG
rnacentral:rRNA from 1 species